rnacentral:SRP_RNA from 1 species
GCAGGGCAGAGUUGCGAACGCUUGUAAUCCAGCUACUUGGGGGCUUGACCUUGACGAUGACUUGAGGCAAGGAGUCCUGCAGUGCAACGGAUCAUGCCGAUCGAGUGUCCAGGUCAAGAGCGGCGUCAAUAUGUUAACCAUUGAGGAGUUAAUGGUAACCAGGUUAGUCAAAGAGGGACGAUACCGACCGAGGGCGGAAACGCAGCAGGGAAAAGUUUCCGCGUCGUUACAGUGAUCAGAUAGUGCUUGUGAAUAGUCCGUCCAUUGCAGCCUUGCCACAAUAGUCUGACCUGAGCCUUU